UACUUGUAAGGCCAAAGGCUUAGAAUCCAAGCCUCUUAUGUCUUGCCAAACAAAUCAGUAGAUGACUUGUUGGUCAAGUUUCAAAAAGUCUCUCAAGAAGCUUUUUGAAAGGACUUGUGGUCUAAGCCAUACUACAUGGCUUCUUUUCUAAGCUAUUCUAGAAGCUUUUUAGAAAGCCGAUUGACAUGGCUUAGCUUUUAAGUUACUUUCCAC
rnacentral:lncRNA from 1 species